UUCAAUGAUGAAAACUGCUGCAUAGGAAGUGCCGUCUGAUGCGAUAACUGACGAUGGCUAUAUGAGCUGCUCUGAGG
ensembl:snoRNA small nucleolar RNA SNORD49